rnacentral:rRNA from 1 species
GACGAACGCUGGCGGCGUGCUUAACACAUGCAAGUCGAACGGUGAAGCGCCUUCCUUUUUGGUGGGUGUGGAUGAGUGGCGAACGGGUGAGUAACACGUGAGUAACCUGCCCCCUUCUUCUGGAUAACCGCAUGAAAGUGUGGCUAAUACGGGAUAUUCUGGGUCUGUCGCAUGAUGGGUCUGGGAAAGAUAUUGUUUCGGUGGGGAUGGGCUCGCGGCCUAUCAGCUUGUUGGUGGGGUGAUGGCCUACCAAGGCGGUGACGGGUAGCCGGCCUGAGAGGGUGGACGGUCACACUGGGACUGAGACACGGCCCAGACUCCUACGGGAGGCAGCAGUGGGGAAUAUUGCACAAUGGGCGCAAGCCUGAUGCAGCGACGCCGCGUGAGGGAUGGAGGCCUUCGGGUUGUGAACCUCUUUCGCCAGUGAAGCAGGCCUGCCUCGUUUGUGGGUGGGUUGACGGUAGCUGGAUAAGAAACGCCGGCUAACUACGU